rnacentral:misc_RNA from 1 species
AACUUUUGGCAACGGAUCUCUUGGCUCUCGCAUCGAUGCAGAACGCAGCGAAAUGCGAUACGUAAUGUGAAUUGCAGAAUUCAGUGAAUCAUCGAAUCUUUGAACGCACCUUGCGCCCCUUGGCAUUCCGAGGGGCACACCCGUUUGAGUGUCGUGAAAUUCUCAAACCUUCUUGGUUUCUUGAUCAAGAUGGCUUUGGACUUUGGAGGCAUUUUGCUGGCUUUGCGAAAAGCCAGCUCCUCUUAAAUACAUUAGUGGGAUCCCCUUUGCCGAUCCCCAGGCGUGAUAAGAUAUUUCUACGUCUUGGGAUUUGCUCUGUUCCUUGGGAACCCGCUUCCAACCGUCUCAUGGGAGACAUCGUUCGAGUUUGCUCGACCCACGAACCUUGACCUCAAAUCGGGUGAGACUACCCGCUGAACUUAAGCAUAUCAAUAAGCGGAGGCU